rnacentral:rRNA from 1 species
AUUGAACGCUGGCGGCAUGCCUUACACAUGCAAGUCGAACGGUAACAGGUCUUCGGAUGCUGACGAGUGGCGAACGGGUGAGUAAUACAUCGGAACGUGCCCGAGAGGGGGGGAUAACGAGGCGAAAGCUUUGCUAAUACCGCAUACGAUCUCAGGAUGAAAGCCGGGGACCGCAAGGCCUUGCGCUCACGGACGGGCCGAUGGCAGAUUAGGUAGUGGGUGGGAUAGAAGCUUACCAAGCCGACGAUCUGUAGCUGGUCUGAGAGGACGACCAGCCACACUGGGACUGAGACACGGCCCAGACUCCUACGGGAGGCAGCAGUGGGGAAUUUUGGACAAUGGGCGCAAGCCUGAUCCAGCCAUGCCGCGUGCAGGAUGAAGGCCUUCGGGUUGUAAACUGCUUUUGUACGGAACGAAAAGACUCCUUCUAAUAAAGGGGGUUCAUGACGGUACCGUAAGAAUAAGCACCGGCUAACUACGUGCCAGCCGCCGCGGUAAUAC